rnacentral:rRNA from 1 species
GACGUAGGAUGCAAGCGUUGUCCGGAUCUAUUGGGCGUAAAGAGUUCGUAGGUGGUUUGUUAAGUCUGAUGUUAAAGACUGGGGCUCAACCUCGGAAACGCAUUGGAUACUGGCAGACUUGAGUGUGGUAGAGGCAAUCGGAAUUCCAGGUGUAGCGGUGAAAUGCGUAGAUAUCUGGAAGAACACCGGUGGCGCAAGCGGAUUGCUGGGCCAUAACUGACACUGAGGAACGAAAGCUAGGGGAGCGAAUGGG